CACUCUCCCCUCAUAGGACAUUAACUCUGAACCUUGAGGACAGCUUACAAAUUCAGGAGCUAAAUUAGGGAGAGAUCAAUACUUGCUCACGCUCCACAUCAGGACUCUGUAUGGUAUCUCCGUGUCUGUCCUGUACUGGGAGACCCAGAACUGGACCCAAAAUUCCAGCUGUGGCCCCACUAGUGUCAAGAAGAGAGGAGGAGGACCACCUACCUUGACCAGCUGGCAACAUUUAAAAUGUCCCAGGAUACCACUAACCAUCCUUGUCACAAAGGGAUGAGACUGGACUGGCCACUGCUUUCUUCUUCAUGCCAUAUAUCUGCUCCUCUUCAGGGGACAUAACUGUAUUUGUUUAUGAAGGGGAAGAGUGAAGAUCCUCUAUGAAUAGAGUAUACGUUUUAAUGCAGCAGAUAUUUAGAACAGCAACACUAUAGACAUGAUGAAGCCAGAUAUUUCCACAGUGAUUUUUUUUUCUUUUUCAGGAAAUUUUUUCAGUGACAGUGUAAAAUGGGGGAAGUCCUAAUAAACUAUUUCCAUGUCUGAUAUUGCA
ensembl:lncRNA